rnacentral:rRNA from 1 species
GGGCCCGCACAAGCGGUGGAGUAUGUGGUUUAAUUCGACGCAACGCGCAGAACCUUACCCAAUCUUAACAUCCCGUGAACGAUACAGAAAUGUAAUGGUGCCCUUUUGGGAACACGGUGAUAGGUGCUGCAUGGCUGUCGUCAGCUCGUGUCGUGAGAUGUUCGGUUAAGUCCGGUAACGAGCGCAACCCCUAUCCUUAGUUGCCAAUGAUGGAACUCUAAGGAUACUGCCAGUGACAAACUGGAGGAAGGCGGGGACGACGUCAAGUCAUCAUGGCCCUUACGACCAGGGCUACACACGUGCUACAAUGGUAGGUACAGAGGGCAGCUACACAGCGAUGUGAUGCGAAUCUCAAAAAGCCUAUCGUAGUCCAGAUUGGAGUCUGCAACUCGACUCCAUGAAGUAGGAAUCGCUAGUAAUCG